AUGCUUAUAUGUAGUUUAAAAGCUCAAAAAAAAAAAAUAACUUAUUUGUCGGUUGUAUUGAUGUUUGUACAACAUUGACCCACUUAGACAGGUGAGAAACAAAUAGAGAAAUUAAUGC